UACGUAGGGUGCAAGCGUUGUCCGGAAUUAUUGGGCGUAAAGAGCUCGUAGGCGGUUUGUCGAGUCUGCUGUGAAAACUCGGGGCUUAACUCCGGGCCUGCAGUGGGUACGGGCAGACUAGAGUGCGGUAGGGGAGAGUGGAAUUCCUGGUGUAGCGGUGAAAUGCGCAGAUAUCAGGAGGAACACCGGUGGCGAAGGCGGGUCUCUGGGCCGUAACUGACGCUGAGGAGCGAAAGCGUGGGGAGCGAACAGG
rnacentral:rRNA from 1 species